rnacentral:rRNA from 1 species
UACGUAGGGUCCGAGCGUUGUCCGGAAUUAUUGGGCGUAAAGGGCUCGUAGGCGGUCUGUUGCGUCGGGAGUGAAAACUUACAGCUUAACUGUGAGCGUGCUUCCGAUACGGGCAGACUUGAGGUAUUCAGGGGAGAACGGAAUUCCUGGUGUAGCGGUGAAAUGCGCAGAUAUCAGGAGGAACACCGGUGGCGAAGGCGGCUCUCUGGGAAUAUCCUGACGCUGAGGAGCGAAAGUGUGGGGAGCGAACAGG